rnacentral:rRNA from 1 species
UACGAAGGGGGCUAGCGUUGUUCGGAUUUACUGGGCGUAAAGCGCACGUAGGCGGACUAUUAAGUCAGGUGUGAAAUCCCGGGGCUCAACCGCGGAACUGCCUUUGAUACUGGUAGUCUUGAGUUCGAGAGAGGUGAGUGGAAUUCCGAGUGUAGAGGUGAAAUUCGUAGAUAUUCGGAGGAACACCAGUGGCGAAGGCGGCUCACUGGCUCGAUACUGACGCUGAGGUGCGAAAGCGUGGGGAGCAAACAGG